AACGUGGGGUUGGAAGACAUUCACACACUCACGCACACUUAUUACAAAAUUUGCCCUCUCGACGGAGGGUUCGAAUAAAUAAUACAAAUCAACUGAUUAAUCUGGGCUUCUAUGUUGUUGUUACCUCUCUCUCUCUAGGUCUUUCUACAGAUUUUUUAGAGAGAGGGAUAAUUCAUCGGGUGGGUAAUCUGGCUUUAAGGAGCUCCGGUUGUGGGUGGCACCAUGGCUGUUUGCUCCAAGGAUUUGGUAUGGUGUGUGCCGCUGGUGGUGUUGUGUCAUCGACGGUGCUAGGUUGUGUUGAUUAAUAGCUUCCAGUUUCAUCAAUGUUUUGAUGGAGCUUUGUAUUGAAGAUAACGGCGAGGUUAGCCGUAGAUUAGUGGCGAGUAGGCGUUGCCAUCGCGACUAUGUUGAACAUGAGAAAGAUGUUCGCUGUUGUGUGUUUUCAAUCUCAUGCGAUCUGAGCUUUGUAUAUCCAGGUGUACGGGUGGCUAUUUCGUCAAAUUGUAGCUGCUGUAGCUCCAGCUUAGUUUCCGAAGGGUAGUCAUGGGGUUUAUGUGUCAUUUUAUGUUGAUGAUUGCUACGGUGCCAGCAUGGAAUUUUUGCUUCGGCGCCGGUGUAACCAAGCCGUGAGCUGUGCGUAUGGAAGAAGAAGUAGUGGUGUAGACGCGUCUAGUUGUGGUUGGGCGUAAUUACGUGAGUGGGGUGUGUUUUGGGGCAGAGGGACACACGUGCAGUGUGCUGAUGUUGCCGUGUGCAGAUUCAUUUGGUUGGCAUGAGUGCUUCAUGUGACUCAGCCAGGAUCUUUCAUGGGAUAGAUAUUUUCCUUCGUCAUGGCUUUGGUUGAGUGGCUAGGAUGUCACGGCUAUGAGAAGCGAGAUGCUUAUUGGAUUCCAUGCUUUCAUCCGAGGUAGAGACUGGGAGCAAGCGGGGGCAGUUAUUAUUUUUCGAUUGGUUUUGUUGGGUGUUUAGUUAGUUACAUUUGUAUUGUGUGUUUGUUUGUUAUGUUUUAUGAGUCUGUGGUGUGUUUUGUUUAUUUGCCCAUAUAUCCCACCCAAGUUUCCAUCUAUUAUCUUUGAUGGUAGGGGUUACUUAGGGACAAAAAGGAUAUAUGGGCAAAGUGGGGUUCUGUUUUUUUCUGUUGUUCUUUCGCUUUUGCGAGUGUGGUUUUAUGUUGAACGAUGUCCAGUGGUAGUUUUGUGGUGUUUUUUGUUCUUCUAUUAUUUGUUGUUGGGCGUACCUGGGGUAUGCCCCUUGUAAACUUGUACAUUUUAUUGUCUUUAUUUUAUGACUUACUUACCC